GAUGAACGCUGGCGGCGUGCCUAAUACAUGCAAGUCGAGCGAACGGACGAGAAGCUUGCUUCUCUGAUGUUAGCGGCGGACGGGUGAGUAACACGUGGAUAACCUACCUAUAAGACUGGGAUAACUUCGGGAAACCGGAGCUAAUACCGGAUAAUAUUUUGAACCGCAUGGUUCAAAAGUGAAAGACGGUCUUGCUGUCACUUAUAGAUGGAUCCGCGCUGCAUUAGCUAGUUGGUAAGGUAACGGCUUACCAAGGCAACGAUGCAUAGCCGACCUGAGAGGGUGAUCGGCCACACUGGAACUGGGACACGGUCCAGACUCCUACGGGAGGCAGCAGUAGGGAAUCUUCCGCAAUGGGCGAAAGCCUGACGGAGCAACGCCGCGUGAGUGAUGAAGGGCUUCGGAUCGUAAAACUCUGUUAUUAGGGAAGAACAGAUGUGUAAGUAACUGUGCACAUCUUGACGGUACCUAAUCAGAAAGCCACGGCUAACUACGU
rnacentral:rRNA from 1 species